rnacentral:lncRNA from 1 species
GCUGAUUCCGCUGUGGCGUGUACUGUGUGGAGCAGUUGCUUAAAGCAGGUGAGCAGCACCAAUACUUACCCACGCGCCUGCUCCUCAUGGAAACGUCAGCUUUAUAACACAGAACGUUCUACGGUUCAGCUUCAUAUUUGGGUAUUCCAUACAUUUGUUGAUCUUUUGUUUUACCCAAUAUAUUCAUCUUUAUUCUCUUCAGUCACCAGGAUAUUAGACACUCCCAACUUCAGGUCAUGUGAAGUACUCUUACCCCAAAUCUCCAUGUCAACACAGAAAUACAUUUCUAAGCCACAUUCCUCAGUGCUGUUAUCUCUUAUCCAGGUAAGGGAGUUAUAAAAUUCAGUAUCAGUGGAUUCCAAAUCCUUAAUAGCAAGUUUUUUACACAGUAGAAUGGUAAAGAGAAACCAGUAUCAAUAAACUUUCCAUCGUUUUUUGAUCUCACAAGGCUCAUGGAUGAAGUUUGUUUAUGCCGUUGCUCCCAUGCGUGAGGACCAAACUGGUGUCCGUGAUUACAUUAGUUUUGUCCCCUCAUCUAAUCUGUUUACCCGGCUGAGCACUGUAUUCCAGAACUUCCUCAAGUCACAGCCGUCGAAGAAGCUCAGCCUCCAUGCGGUUUCCCAUUUCAUUCCAAGGGACCUCUCAGAAGCCAAAGCUGAGCCCUGAAGAAGUGGAAUGAGUCCAUGGGGACUGUGUGUGACCGCAGCUCUCCAUGCUGAAGAGUAUGGGAAGACGGGUCGGCAUGAGAGCUGCCACAGGAGUCCUGGGAAGGUAAUGCACGCAGGGGCGGUCUCGAGCCAAGAACCUGGAGAAGUGACGGAUGAAGACUUUACUACUGGUGAUCGGAAUGCUUCGGAAGGAGCAGACUGGCUUUUGCCUUGCUAUGCUUUAGCUGAAGUUUGGGAAGACAGCACUCCAGAGAUGACCAGAACCCUCCCCACUUCUAAGUAUGGAGAAGCAGCAAGAAGCUGGAUGACAUGGACCAACGCAUGGAGAGGUGCUGUUGUAGAGAGGGGCUUAGAAGAUUUUGAUCAAACUAAAAUACACAAAACACGACUUCAGCUAAAUCAUAGUGAGGAGAAAGCCUGCUUGCUCUUCUGAAGCAUUCUGUUCACCCAGAGAUACAGCUCAUGGGAUCCCAUCGGAAAUAACCGUGCAUACAACACUACCAAGACAAUUUCUUGGUGAACUGCCAGAGACGUUCACUUUUAAAAAUAUAUUUUACAAGUUUUAUAUUUUUAACUUAGAUUUUUAUUCUCAGCUUUAGAUCAAACUCUCAUAUCUUAACAGUGCAAUAAAUUUAAUAAUAUUUUCUAAUAUUUAUUCUAUAAAGUGUAACAUCAAAAUUUAUGUACUGCUAUAAGACUUUAUAUGCAUUGAAAUAUGCUGCUUCAUCAAGACCUAUAUCUUAAUAUUUAUAAAUAAAAAUGAAGCAAAG